rnacentral:rRNA from 1 species
GAUGAACGCUGGCGGCGUGCCUAAUACAUGCAAGUCGAGCGAACAGAUGAGGAGCUUGCUCCUCUGACGUUAGCGGCGGACGGGUGAGUAACACGUGGAUGACCUACCUAUAAGACUGGGAUAACUUCGGGAAACCGGAGCUAAUACCGGAUAAUAUAUUGAACCGCAUGGUUCAAUAGUGAAAGGCGGUUUUGCUGUCACUUAUAGAUGGAUCCGCGCCGCAUUAGCUAGUUGGUAAGGUAACGGCUUACCAAGGCAACGAUGCGUAGCCGACCUGAGAGGGUGAUCGGCCACACUGGAACUGAGACACGGUCCAGACUCCUACGGGAGGCAGCAGUAGGGAAUCUUCCGCAAUGGGCGAAAGCCUGACGGAGCAACGCCGCGUGAGUGAUGAAGGUCUUCGGAUCGUAAAACUCUGUUAUUAGGGAAGAACAAAUGUGUAAGUAACUAUGCACGUCUUGACGGUACCUAAUCAGAAAGCCACGGCUAACUACGUG